rnacentral:misc_RNA from 1 species
GGCCAUGCAAUUCACCACCGCGUUCAUCUAUUCCAGUGCCAGUUUUGGCAUUUCUUGUCCAUCUCUUUAAGAUAUAAUGAGAUGGCAAUGUAAGCACAUUUGUCACUGUGAAGACUGUCAAAACAUGUCUGCACAGAAUACCCGAAUAUUCGAACAUUUGGCAGCUACAGUUUGCUCUCAUUUCUGGAUAGUUUAAUGUAACAAUGUAUGCCUUGUUGUCAUCUUCAAAUUUUGCAACCCGGAAUGUACUGAUAGGUCCAUCACCCUCAAUCUUAUUAGCAGUAUAGACAAAAGUUUCAACUAGCUCUUCUUGAAAUUUUGCAAAUAUUUUCCUUGUAUAAAGAUCUGCUGCUUGUUUUUCCAUUGGAGAUGGUGUCCUUAAUACUGGUGUGGUGCAAAUUGUAUCAAAGUCUGCUUCUAGCUGCUUUUCAAACCAGUUCUCUAGAGCUCUUUCAUACUGUCUGAAGAACAUUGGUAAUGUAGUUUGUUGGUUCACAUAGCCAUCAAAAAAAGAACAAUCAAAACCUUGAUUUUGAGAUAUCACAGCAAAAAAGGAGUCUCUAAAGUAUACUGGGACCCAUUGAGCACGAGUAUCAUAUAAUGAUUGAAGCCAAUCAUGCCCCCUUAAAUUAUAUUUAUCAAGGAUAUAACUCCAAGAUGAUUCGAACUCCUCAAUAGUCUCAGUCAAGUUGAUACAAUUGUACAAUUCCACCUGAAAAUUAGGAUGCGCAUGACAUACAUGAGCCAAUUUUUCUUGGCCUUCUCUCAAGACAUGCCAUUUGCUAAUACAGUGUCGGACUUCAGGAAACACCUGAGACACUGCUGUUUGUAUGGCCCUGUCUUGAUCGGUGAUUAUAGAAACAGGCUGUCGAUCGUUCAUUGCUGUAAGAAAUGUCUUAAAUAGCCAAACAAAAGAAGCCUCCGAAUC